AGGAGGGCACCGGGUUUCCCUAUAGCCCAAAGAUUGACCUUCAAAUCCUCCCCACCAGUGAUGAGGAUCCUUGAUGCUCGCCUCCCAAACUUGGCACAAUUGACAUUCAAAGUGUGCGCGACAAACUCCUCUGGUCAUUGUCAAGGAGACAAGAUAUAUUGAAGGUUGCAUGCAACAACAAGAGAAUUAAAGUCUUAUCUCAACAUGAUAUCCAAAGAUAUAACAAAAUGUUUUCGACUACCAUGAACCCAGCAUGUUUAAAGUUUCUUUCAUAAUUCAUUUUUUCCAGAAGGAUAUAGACACACAUUUCCACAAUGAAAAAUACUGACUGAAAAUCCAGAGUACCAAUUGCUUAUUGUUGGUAAAUGUCCUCAAUUUUCACCUGAAUUGCAUAGACCACACCGUUGAUCCAAUAGAAAGUUGGUCUAAGCCAAUCAGUCGACAUGGCACGUGCCUAGAGAACAGGAACAAAAAUUAAGAGGCACAACAACAUUGACAAAACAAUAGAGGUCUAACAGAGACAAAAAGAAAUACCUGAUAAUAAAUCUUAGCCCAGAAGAGCACUAAAAGUGCAUAUGUCGUGAAGAAUGCAAGCCCGGGCAUAUCCUGAAGCACAUGUUGUAUUAUCUGAGGUACCACAUUGCUUCAAACCAUUACUAAAGACCUCCAACAAAUUCAUCAUCCGAGUAUAGUAUAAUAACCAAAUCAGUUACAAACCUCAGGCUCUACAAGUUGCACAUUUCGCCGCAGCACAAACACGACAGACCGCACUGCGAGCAGGAAUAGAGCAUUCACAUCGAUCAGUCCACCAAAUCAAACACCUAGCAGAAGCUAAGUAAUGCAAGCGACACAAAUGAUUGUCUAUCUCAAUAAUCAUGCUGUAAUUUGUAAGAUGCCUUAAUUUUUGGGUUCUAUGAUCUUCGAAUACUUUGCAUUACGAUUAAACGGACAUGCUCAAAAUUUUACCUUCACUAAGUUAUCAGCCCCACCAGAAACAAUCCAUCGGCCAUCAGGAGUAAAUUUAAGCACAUUAAUUCGUUGGGUAUGACCCUUGUAUGUGUGGAUGCAUCUCUGCUGUCGAGUAUCCCAUAUUUUCAUGUUUGUAUCUGAAGACCCAAUGGCUAAGAAUUCUCCAAAAGGAUGGAAAUCAAGAGAUGCACAACUUGAUUUGUGUCCAGUGAAAGUUCGAACAACUGCACAUUAUGCACAUUGUCAAUAGAAACUGAGAUUAUUGCAAGACAUAGUUGCAGUUCAUGUUUUCAAUGCACUGACUGUUGAGUACCAACACUGGUUAAUACCUUUCGCCUCCUCAAUAUUCCAUAUUUUUAUCGUUCCACUUGCUGCACCAGCACCUAUCGUAACUUCAGAAGAGUCAAAGCUUACUGACUCAACUGGACUUGUAAAGCCUGAAGUAGAUGUUGCCAAAAAAGAGCAAGAAUGACAUAUUGAUAUUACACAUAAACCGUCAGGAUAGGAAAUUACCAGGAGGGCACCGGGUUUCCCUAUAGCCCAAAGAUUGACCUUCAAAUCCUCCCCACCAGUGAUGAGGAUCCUUGAUGCUCGCCUCCCAAACUUGGCACAAUUGACAUUCAAAGUGUGCGCGACAAACUCCUCUGGUCAUUGUCAAGGAGACAAGAUAUAUUGAAGGUUGCAUGCAACAACAAGAGAAUUAAAGUCUUAUCUCAGCAUGAUAUCCAAAGAUAUAACAAAAUGUUUUCGACUACCAUGAACCCAACAUGUUUAAAGUUUCUUUCAUAAUUCAUUUUUUCCAGAAGGAUAUAGACACACAUUUCCACAACGAAAAAUACUGACUGAAAAUCCAGAGUACCAAUUGCUUAUUGUUGGUAAAUGUCCUCAAUUUUCACCUGAAUUGCAUAGACCACACCGUUGAUCCAAUAGAAAGUUGGUCUAAGCCAAUCAGUCGACAUGGCACGUGCCUAGAGAACAGGAACAAAAAUUAAGAGGCACAACAACAUUGACAAAACAAUAGAGGUCUAACAGAGACAAAAAGAAAUACCUGAUAAUAAAUCUUAGCCCAGAAGAGCACUAAAAGUGCAUAUGUCGUGAAGAAUGCAAGCCCGGGCAUAUCCUGAAGCACAUGUUGUAUUAUCUGAGGUACCACAUUGCUUCAAACCAUUACUAAAGACCUCCAACAAAUUCAUCAUCCGAGUAUAGUAUAAUAACCAAAUCAGUUACAAACCUCAGGCUCUACAAGUUGCACAUUUCGCCGCAGCACAAACACGACAGACCGCACUGCGAGCAGGAAUAGAGCAUUCACAUCGAUCAGUCCACCAAAUCAAACACCUAGCAGAAGCUAAGUAAUGCAAGCGACACAAAUGAUUGUCUAUCUCAAUAAUCAUGCUGUAAUUUGUAAGAUGCCUUAAUUUUUGGGUUCUAUGAUCUUCGAAUACUUUGCAUUACGAUUAAACGGACAUGCUCAAAAUUUUACCUUCACUAAGUUAUCAGCCCCACCAGAAACAAUCCAUCGGCCAUCAGGAGUAAAUUUAAGCACAUUAAUUCGUUGGGUAUGACCCUUGUAUGUGUGGAUGCAUCUCUGCUGUCGAGUAUCCCAUAUUUUCAUGUUUGUAUCUGAAGACCCAAUGGCUAAGAAUUCUCCAAAAGGAUGGAAAUCAAGAGAUGCACAACUUGAUUUGUGUCCAGUGAAAGUUCGAACAACUGCACAUUAUGCACAUUGUCAAUAGAAACUGAGAUUAUUGCAAGACAUAGUUGCAGUUCAUGUUUUCAAUGCACUGACUGUUGAGUACCAACACUGGUUAAUACCUUUCGCCUCCUCAAUAUUCCAUAUUUUUAUCGUUCCACUUGCUGCACCAGCACCUAUCGUAACUUUAGAAGAGUCAAAGCUUACUGACUCAACUGGACUUGUAAAGCCUGAAGUAGAUGUUGCCAAAAAAGAGCAAGAAUGACAUAUUGAUAUUACACAUAAACCGUCAGGAUAGGAAAUUACCAGGAGGGCACCGGGUUUCCCUAUAGCCCAAAGAUUGACCUUCAAAUCCUCCCCACCAGUGAUGAGGAUCCUUGAUGCUCGCCUCCCAAACUUGGCACAAUUGACAUUCAAAGUGUGCGCGACAAACUCCUCUGGUCAUUGUCAAGGAGACAAGAUAUAUUGAAGGUUGCAUGCAACAACAAGAGAAUUAAAGUCUUAUCUCAGCAUGAUAUCCAAAGAUAUAACAAAAUGUUUUCGACUACCAUGAACCCAGCAUGUUUAAAGUUUCUUUCAUAAUUCAUUUUUUCCAGAAGGA
rnacentral:lncRNA from 1 species